CUACUCUGCCACCAGGCCAGUGAACUCCUUGAACAAGCUCAGCUUUUGCCAAAGUCGGGGAAGCCGUGGAAGGGCUUGGGACUGUCAUGGACUCCCAGAAACAAGGUGACAAUUGGGUGUUCUCACUACAGCUCUCCGGCCUCUGUCCUGGAUCACAUCAAAAGGAAGGAGAGAGAUCUUCUGAAUGUGCAGAGAGAGGUUGGAGCCACACAGCUACAAGCCAACAAAUGCUUGAGGUAAGGAGGCCUUGCUCUAGAGCCUACCUGGGGGUGCCAGCCUUGCAUCCACCUCCAUUUUGCGUUGCUGACCUCAAGUGCCACAAGAUGCUGGGCUUGGGCUUCACAGUUCUGAGGUGCAUCCAACUUUUUUUUGUCGGUCAUGGGGCUUGA